AACAAACACAAACUCACCUGAUACAGUCAGUGUAACAGCAUCACUGCGCUGAGAGAUCUGAGUGUUUAUCUGUCCUGUACAGGUGUAUUUACCACUGUGAAAGUGAUCAACACUGCUGAUGUUCAACUCUUGUGUUGAGCACAGACUGACAGCUUCUCUGUGUUUCUGUUUAUUGACUCCACUGGUGCAGCACUCUUGUUUUGUACAUCGAUUGGCAGAGUUUAUAUUCAAGUUGUUGGUUCCCUCUAUUUCCCAUCUGUAUGUCCACUCAGUGUCUCCUCCCCACGUUAUUUCACAUCUGAGAGUGACUGUUUCUCCUCUGAACACUCGUUCAUCAGGUCGUACCGUCAGCACAGCUUUAGGACUCACUGUA